rnacentral:rRNA from 1 species
CACGUAGGGGGCGAGCGUUGUCCGGAUUUAUUGGGCGUAAAGAGCUCGUCGGCGGCUCGGUAAGUCGGGUGUGAAAUUUCGAGGCUCAACCUCGAAACGCCACCCGAUACUGCUGUGGCUAGAGUCCGGUAGGGGAGCGUGGAAUUCCUGGUGUAGCGGUGAAAUGCGCAGAUAUCAGGAGGAACACCAGCGGCGAAGGCGGCGCUCUGGGCCGGUACUGACGCUGAGGAGCGAAAGCGUGGGGAUCAAACAGG